GUGUCAGCCGCCGCGGUAAGACGAACCGUGCGAACGUUGUUCGGAUUCACUGGGCUUAAAGGGCGCGUAGGCGGGCGUUCAAGUCUGGGGUGAAAUCCUCCGGCUCAACCGGAGAACAGCCCCCGAUACUGGACGCCUCGAGGGAGGUAGGGGUCGAGGGAACUUCCGGUGGAGCGGUGAAAUGCGUAGAUAUCGGAAGGAACGCCGGUGGCGAAAGCGCUCGACUGGACCUCUUCUGACGCUGAGGCGCGAAAGCCAGGGGAGCGAACGGGAUUAGAAACCCGCGUAGUCC
rnacentral:rRNA from 1 species